rnacentral:misc_RNA from 1 species
GAACGCACCUUGCGCUCUAGGGUUAUUCCUUAGAGCAUGCUUGUUUGAGUGUCACGUACCCCUCUCCACCCCGCUUGUUUCGACAAGUUGCUCAGGGCUUGGGAUCAUGGACGCUUUGUCGGGACUUUAGUGUUUCGACUGCGCUGAAAUUGAACAAGCUGAAUCCACCUUGCGGCUUGACCUGUUGUUGUAAACUAAAUUCAAUGGGAACGCAAGCGAGGAACGAGCUUACCAGAACCGCCUUUCGAGGCACAGUGCAUUUUGACCUCAAAUCAAGUAGGACUACCCGCUGAACUUAAG